GAUUUUGCUGCCUUGUAUCAUUUCUGGUAUCAGAGCCCCUAUUCCUUAGAGGGGACCAUUCCCCUACUCUCAGUGCACCUGUGUUUCAGUUGGUCUGUCCUCAUCUCCUGGGGACCAUGUUCCCUUCACGUGACCACUGCCCUUCCAUGUGUGGUCAUGUGACCUAACCUGGCCAGUCACUGAGGCCUGUUCCCCUAACUCCUAUGAUGGGUUCAGGGCUGGGCACAGGGCUCAAGCUGGGACCAGAGGGACUCAAUCCCUGGGACUACUGAAGGUUCUUCUAGGUUUGAUGAACUAGGAGUCUGUGAACAUGGAACUUAUAGAAAUGAUCUUUGAACUGUAGGGAGAAGAGCUGACAAAGAAUGAUCCUAAUACUGAAGAAAGCAGAGCUGAGUGAUGAGAACGCCCUUUGAAUCCCUGGAUCCAGCCAUGCCUGAAGUCACAAUGACAUAAUCAGUCUCACAAGCUGUGUCUUGUAGGUGAAAUCUGAUGGGACAAUGGAAUGUGCACACCAGCAGAGGAGAUACAAUGCAUGUCUGCUCCGUUCCUUGCUGCCCCACGCACAGACCACAUUCUCAGUGUCCCAUGAGGACCUGCUGCACAUGAGAAUUCAAGACUCAAAGUGAGUACAAGUCUUCCCUGUUUGUCAGUAAGCUGAAGGCAGAGGGAGCUGGUAGAAUGUGCAGUGUCAAGAAGGGAAACACAAGCAAUUGAGUUUACUUUGUGUGGCAUUUCCACUGUUCUGGCAGAACAAAAUAUGUAUCCAUGUACAAGGUAAGAA